AGCCAAACAAUGACUCAUACAACAUAUAAAUGAUUGAGAUGGGGUCAUAGUAUGGAUAUUUUGGGAUCACAAGGUAAUUGGAUAUUGUUGUCAGGGGUGGUGCUUGUAGGUGGGGCUGAAUUGGACUACUUAUCUCAGUGCAUCUUAGUUUCUCAUCUAUGAAUGCUUUAUGGAAGGAAACACCAUGACAACUCCACUACUGAUGUUUGGUACGUGACCAUCACUAUCAAACUCUGCACAUUUGCUAGAAUUUGUGUGUACAAUCUCUGGACUUCCAUUCCUUAACAUUUGUUUGUUUCAUUUGUGCAGUUCUUCUGACUCUACCCUGCUACAGCGCACAUGGGCAGGUCAAUCCUUUUGGAAUUCCAGUCUCCGUCCAUGCUGAGAAGUUCUACGGCAUGUCUCCCAGAGAUCACGUCUGCGGCGGGGUUAAUUAUGACGUUCUAGAUUACACCUGCUGUGAAGGAGUACGGCAUAAAGGGGCGGGGCUGUCCUGCUGUGGAAAAAGGGCCUUCGGCCUCACCCAGGCUUCCUGUUGUACCUAUUCACUCA